GACGGAGGAUGCAAGCGUUAUCCGGAAUCAUUGGGUUUAAAGGGUCCGCAGGCGGGCCUAUAAGUCAGUGGUGAAAUCCCAUCGCUUAACGAUGGAACUGCCAUUGAUACUGUAGGUCUUGAAUUCGGUCGAAGUGGGCGGAAUGUGUCAUGUAGCGGUGAAAUGCAUAGAUAUUGGAAAGAACACCGAUGGCGAAGGCAGCUCACUAGGCCUGGAUUGACGCUCAGGGACGAAAGCGUGGGUAGCGAACAGG
rnacentral:rRNA from 1 species